AGCGGGAUGAGCUCAAAUUUAAAAUCUGGCUGGUUUACUAGUCCGAAUUGUAGUUUAUAGAAGCGUUUUCGGUGGCAGCCUGGGUAUAAAUCCUUUGGAAUAGGGUAUCAUAGAGGGUGAGAAUCCCGUCUUUGACUCAGUGCAUGCUACUAUGUGAUACGUUUUCAAAGAGUCGAGUUGUUUGGGAAUGCAGCUCAAAAUGGGUGGUAAAUUUCAUCUAAGGCUAAAUAUUGGCGAGAGACCGAUAGCGAACAAGUACCGUGAGGGAAAGAUGAAAAGAACUUUGAAAAGAGAGUUAAACAGUGCGUGAAAUUGUUGAAAGGGAAACGUUUGACACCAGUUAUGCGGGUGGAAAAUCAGUUUUUUGCAGUGGGGAGUUGUGGGCGUUCAGACCGCAAGGCUGGCGUUUGCUUCAUCUUUGCUGUAAGUGAUGCACUUUUUCAUUUGCAGGUCAACAUCAGUUUGCUUUGCUGGACAAAACCCCAAGGGAAGGUGGCAGCUUAGGCUGUGUUAUAGCCCUGGGGCGAUACAGUGGAGUGGACUGAGGUUUUCGCAGUGUGUGCUCUCGGGCAAGGCUGACUGGGUGCUAUGGGAUCGUUCGGUGUACAAUGCAUGCAUUUUGCGCCGUGUCUUUUUCAUACUCGCUCAACUCGGCUCUUCCACACUUAGGAUGUUGACU
rnacentral:rRNA from 1 species